CGAAUGCUGACAUAAGUAACGAUAAAGCGGGUGAAAAGCCCGCUCGCCGGAAGACCAAGGGUUCCUGUCCAACGUUAAUCGGGGCAGGGUGAGUCGACCCCUAAGGCGAGGCCGAAAGGCGUAGUCGAUGGGAAACAGGUUAAUAUUCCUGUACUUGGUGUUACUGCGAAGGGGGGACGGAGAAGGCUAUGUUGGCCGGGCGACGGUUGUCCCGGUUUAAGCGUGUAGGCUGGUUUUCCAGGCAAAUCCGGAAAAUCAAGGCUGAGGCGUGAUGACGAGGCACUACGGUGCUGAAGCAACAAAUGCCCUGCUUCCAGGAAAAGCCUCUAAGCAUCAGGUAACAUCAAAUCGUACCCCAAACCGACACAGGUGGUCAGGUAGAGAAUACCAAGGCGCUUGAGAGAACUCGGGUGAAGGAACUAGGCAAAAUGGUGCCGUAACUUCGGGAGAAGGCACGCUGAUAUGUAGGUGAAGCGACUUGCUCGUGGAGCUGAAAUCAGUCGAAGAUACCAGCUGGCUGCAACUGUUUAUUAAAAACACAGCACUGUGCAAACACGAAAGUGGACGUAUACGGUGUGACGCCUGCCCGGUGCCGGAAGGUUAAUUGAUGGGGUUAGCGCAAGCGAAGCUCUUGAUCGAAGCCCCGGUAAACGGCGGCCGUAACUAUAACGGUCCUAAGGUAGCGAAAUUCCUUGUCGGGUAAGUUCCGACCUGCACGAAUGGCGUAAUGAUGGCCAGGCUGUCUCCACCCGAGACUCAGUGAAAUUGAACUCGCUGUGAAGAUGCAGUGUACCCGCGGCAAGACGGAAAGACCCCGUGAACCUUUACUAUAGCUUGACACUGAACAUUGAGCCUUGAUGUGUAGGAUAGGUGGGAGGCUUUGAAGUGUGGACGCCAGUCUGCAUGGAGCCGACCUUGAAAUACCACCCUUUAAUGUUUGAUGUUCUAACGUGGACCCGUAAUCCGGGUUGCGGACAGUGUCUGGUGGGUAGUUUGACUGGGGCGGUCUCCUCCUAAAGAGUAACGGAGGAGCACGAAGGUUGGCUAAUCCUGGUCGGACAUCAGGAGGUUAGUGCAAUGGCAUAAGCCAGCUUGACUGCGAGCGUGACGGCGCGAGCAGGUGCGAAAGCAGGUCAUAGUGAUCCGGUGGUUCUGAAUGGAAGGGCCAUCGCUCAACGGAUAAAAGGUACUCCGGGGAUAACAGGCUGAUACCGCCCAAGAGUUCAUAUCGACGGCGGUGUUUGGCACCUCGAUGUCGGCUCAUCACAUCCUGGGGCUGAAGUAGGUCCCAAGGGUAUGGCUGUUCGCCAUUUAAAGUGGUACGCGAGCUGGGUUUAGAACGUCGUGAGACAGUUCGGUCCCUA
rnacentral:rRNA from 1 species